CCCUUAUCAAGAGUGGCGGAGGGAACGGCCCGAUGAACCCACGGCAACCUGCUUAUGACAAGGUGCCAAAUCCGGCGGUGAUCGACAGAUGAGGA
rfam:Oscillibacter sp. KLE 1745 genomic scaffold Scaffold124, whole genome shotgun sequence.